rnacentral:lncRNA from 1 species
AUCUCAUAUAGUAAUACUGGACCUGCUAUCCAUACAAACAGAUCUGCUUUACCUACUGCCUGCAGAACUUCCAUGCAGAUGUGUAUUCUCUCUAAUCUAUUGUAUUCCAUAAAGCAGAAGUUAAUAAGAUUUUCUGAUUUGUUUCUUGACGUAAUAAAAUUCACAUUUUUAUAAAAGAAAUCAUUAGGUUUAAUAGCGAAAAAUGAAUAAAAACAGGAUGAAAAAUGGCCACCUGGUCAAUCUGCCACUGAAAUCAAUAGGAAAGUGAGCACUGAAUAUUGCGGUAGUUGAGUAGGAGGCUUUCAAAAUAAUCUCAUUUAUGAUCAGACAGAAGAAAAGUCAUUUUUCCCAAAUUAAGAUUUUUUUCAUCAUAGGAUUUUUUUUAGGACAAAAGAAAACUAACUGAGGACUCACAAUUAUGCCACUUAAGAGAAGCAGUACUGCCAUGAAGCAACUUUGAUGUAAUUCUGAUGUGUUUUCCCUUGCGUAUCCUCUUCAACCAUCUUAUAGAUGAGAUACAACAGCUUUUGAUUUUAUGGAAUUACCCGUCGCUUUUCUGCAGCUGAUAGAUUUUAAAGAUUCACACUACAGUUUCAGAGAAUUGGAUUGCAGGACAGCUACCAUAGUUUUUCUGUUGCCUGUCAUCCAGACACCAUCAGACAAUUUCUGCCACAGUGUCUGGCUCCUGUGAAAGAACACCCAAACAACAU